rnacentral:lncRNA from 1 species
AAAAAUUGCAACCGAGACUUAAAUAAAUGACUUGGGAAACUACGUACGUGGUGAGCAACCGACACUGGAAAAAAAGAAGAGAAAAAUGGCGAGCCAUCUUUAGCUGCAGGACUAAGAGAAACUGUUAAAUGAGGAGCAUGCACAACAGCAAACAAAUAUUGAGGAGCCAAAUGAUGAGGUUAAAUUUUAAAUACAGUCGUAAAUUUAAUCAGCAGCAACGUAAGCCCUCAUGUUUUAUUGUUUGUUUAUUGAGAAAAGUUAAAACUUUUUGUCCUUAAAGAGUAGUUUUGAUUAAUCAGAAUUUUGUAAUGAAAGAAAACGAAAACUCUACUGAUCUGUACUAUUUGGUUACUAAGAAAAUCUGCUAUGUUUUACUGAGAAAACUUUAGAGCAUAUACUGGUUUUUAUUUCUUCUUUUAUUAAUUUUCAAAUGAAUACAAAGCACACCUUUUAUACAUUUUGUUAACAGAAAGGAAAACUAAUCAGAAUAAAAUCUCAGCAAACCUUAACUAACUUUGCUGAGCUGGCAUUGCUUACUUAACUAACUUCAGCUCAGCAAAUUCUCCCACGUGCUAACCUUGAGCUGACUGCUUGUACACAUUAUGAGUUUCCUUAACAGCUCCCCUCAAACUCAAAGGGCAUGGCUGCACAUUCGAAAGUAAUUAAAAUGAAUGAAUGUGAGAGGUUUUGUUAAGACAUCAGCUAUUUGUUCUUCACUUGGAAUGAAGUGAAUUUCCAGCUCCUCUGCUAAAACCUUAUCCCUGACAAAAUGCAUAUCCAGUUCAAUAUGUUUGGUACCUGAAUGGUAGACUGGAUUUUUAGCUAACUUUGUUGCACUCAUGUUGUCACACCAGAUGAUAGGUACUGAGAUGCAUCUUAUAUUCAGCUCACUGAACAAAGAUUGAAUCCAUGCUAUCUCUGCACUUGCAGAAGCCAAAGCUCUGUAUUCGCUUUCGGCACUAGACCUUGUCACUAUAGACUGCUUCUUGGAUGACCAUGACACCAGAUUGUUUCCAAAAUAGAUACAGUAGGCACCUAUAGAUUUUCUGUCAUCAAUAUCGCAUGCCCAAUCUGCAUCUGUAAAACCUGUGAUUUCCAUUUUCCCACCAGCUGAAAACUUUAGACCAUAAUCCAUGGUUUCCUUUAAGUACCUUAGAACUCGUUUACAAGCCAUUAUGUGCUGCAAAGUUGGAGCUGUCACAUAUUGACUGAGUUUGUGCACAGCAAAGGCUAUCUCUGGUCGGGUUAACACCAAAUAUUGCAAGCCUCCAACCAAACUUCUAUAACUGGUUGCAUCCUCAAUAUACUGACCUAAGUAACCUUUAACCUCUUUUUGAAGUUUCAAUCCAGUCACUAUAGGAGUAUCACACCCUUUACAGUCCAACAUAUCAGCCUUAGACAAAAGAUCAUUAAUAUACUUUCUCUGAGAUAGGUACAUACAACCAUCAGCAUAAGAGACUUCUAUCCCAAGAAAGUAUGAUAGUAUUCCUAGAUCCUUUAAAGCAAAUGUCUUACUGAAUUCUAAGAUAAAUUUCUCUAAUUCUCCACUGUCAGGUCCUGUAAUAAGUAUAUCAUCCACAUAUAUAAGCACAAGUAUUAUUGAGCCUUGAAUCUCUUUGAAGAAGAGAGAAGUAUCAGCUUUGGAAUUUUGAAAACCCCAAUUACUGAUCAACCAAGUUUUUCAGCGUGUCAUACCAAGCUCUAGGAGCUUGUUUUAAGCCAUACAAAGCCUUCUUCAACUUGCAUACAAAGUUGGAUUUUUUAUCAUCAAUGAAACCUACUGGCUGAUGCAUAUAAACAUCUUCUGUCAACUCUCCAUUUAAGAAGGCAUUAUUAACAUCCACUUGCCUUAUUUUCCACUUAUUCAUCACAGCCAAACUAAAAAUAAGUCUUACUGUGCAGGCCUUUACCACAGGACUAAAAGUCUCAAAGUAGUCAAUACCCUCAGUUUGCUGGAAACCCUUUGCAACUAACCUAACUUUGUAUUUAGCUACACUCCCAUCUGUGUUUUGUUUGAUUCUGAACACCCAUUUACUGUCAACAACCUUGUAUGCCUCUGAAAAUGGUACCAGUGACCAUGUUUCAUUCCUAAGCAAAGCUUCAUAUUCAUCUCUCAUGGCUUGAUGCCAAUUCUGAUCACUUAGAGCUUCUUGAACAGUACUAGGUUCUUUGUUGGUGAAGGUGGUUAUGUAAACUUUUGGCUUGAAGAUUCCAGAUUUUGAUCUGGUUACCAUUGAAUGUGAUGGUUGUGAAGAAAGGUUUCUGGUUUGAGUUUGAUUUAUGUGCUGGGAAGUAAAUAGCUGUGGUUCAUUUUGUGGUUGUGUUUCAGUUUGUUGUUGUGUUGGUGACAAUGGUAUGGUUGAUGAGGAAUGUUCUGAUAUUGUAGUUUGAGAAUGUUCUUGUUGAUGCAGAUUAUUUGUGUGUACAGAAACAGAAGGUACCUAUUCACUGCUCCCUGAACUUGCUGAUUAAAGAUCUUCCAAGCUGCUGUUAGUUAAGGAUAAUGCGGAGAGAUUAUAAAUUUGUUGCUGGGAAAAGUUUGACACUGAUAAUUCAGAAUUUGAACUGUUCUCAGAUGAAUGAAAGACUUUGUUGGUUGAGUAAGGGAAUGUAUUUUCAUCAAAGACAACAUGCCUUAGGAUAUGAAGUUUUCCUGAACUUGUUAAACACUUGUAACCCUUGUAAGAAGGAUUAUAGCCAAUGAAGAUGCAUUUGGUGGUGUGAAAAUCAAAUUUGUGUUUAUUAAAAUCUCUCAUAUAUGGAUAACAUAGGCAACCAAAACACUUAAGAAAUGAAUAAUCUGGUUUGUGUUUAUAAAGCUUUUCAUAAGGAGAAAAAAGCUUAAGAACAAGUGUUGGUAACCUAUUAAUAUGAUAUGCUGCUGUGUGAACAGCUUCCCACCAAAACUGAAAAGGGAGACUAGCUUGAGCUAAGAGUGUCAAUGCUAAUUCAAUUAUGUGUUUGUGUUU